GCAGGUACCAUGCAAAGCCGGCAACAGUUUGGUCAUUAGGGAUGCUGCUGUUUGUUAUGGUGUGCGGGUAUUACCCGGAUGACGAAGACCUGCACAGGAUCAGUAAGAACGACUGGUCCAAAACUGACUUGUCACAAGAAUGCUGUCUGAGCCGCAGCGGAGAGUUAGCCUGGAGGAGAUGCAGCUCCAUAACUGGUUUAUGGCUGUAGAGUAACAAAAAACAACUCCCUGUCACGGCCGAUCGUCUUUCCAUCACUCCAUUUUGGACUUGGCGCCUUGAAGCAGCAUUAUUUAUUAUUUGUUUUAGAUAUUUGUAUUAGUUAUUUAGAUAUUUGUGUUUGUAUUAAGAU